ACUUGCGUGAAUGGUUUUGAGUACAGUAAGCAGAUGACUUGAGUUUAACUUGUGGGUGUAGGGGAUAAGUGAAGAAUGUCCCUCACGGGACCUCGUACGCUCCUCCACUCCCAUGUCGAAAUCCGCUCCUCGCUUUUCCUUUUUACUUUUUUGGGGGCGCAGCAGUUUAACUUCCAGUAAAUCGAGCAGCACUGUCUCCUCCUUCCGCAUAGUUGUCACUUUCUGACAUUUCAGGAUCAUCCACUUCUUCCACCGCAGUUGUUUUACUCGGCGGCAUUUCACCGUUGAUGAUCGUCAACUUUUAUUUACUUUUUUAUUGCUGAACGUUCGGACAUCGCUCACAUCAUCAGAUCCAGAAUAAUUUAUUUCUGGUCUUUGCACGUUCUCACCACUGACACCACCCAACACCACCUCUCAUCAGAUCACCCACAAGACCAACUGUACUCUGAUCCAGUGAGGUCACAGAGCACAUCAGCUGUCUCUGAGCACAUGUUAAGAGCCUGAGGUCUGCGUUGUUGUUCUGGUCCACUGACAAUUUAUCCACAUAGCAUGACUUCCCCUCCUCCUCUUGUACCCGUGUUCCUGGGCCUUGGUUUCACAGUCCUGCUCUGCGCCAUCUUCUGCAAGGUCUACAGUUGCAGACGAAAGCGGAAGAGAGAGAGGGAGCAGGAGAGAGUGAGGGAGCGGGAGCGGGAGAUGGAGCUGGCGAGGGAGAGAGAGCGGGAGAGGGAGUCCUGGAGGAGCGGCGAGCAGGACUGGCAGCCACCUUCCAUUUAUUUCAUCCACUUCUCUAGAACCAUGUCCCUGCCAGAUGAGGAGGAGCACUACAGGCAGGAGCCCUCGGCGCCCCCACAGUACAGCAACGCGGUCCGCUGCGAGCCCCCGCCUGCGUACAGCGAGCUGGCGUGUAUCCCCGAUGACCAGCCCCCUCCUUACACUGUCUACAACCUCCCUGUGUAUCCAGUGUCACCUCCUUCCUACACAGAUAAAAGACACAAAGUCAAGAAACAUGUUACUUUCAACGUGUGAUUCUUGACUUUUAGUUUUAUUGCUGACUGACGUUUUAUGUCCUGGAACCUUUUCUUUCUGUUCACUUUGGACCAAUUCACUAUUCAAUGAAAAACGUUGUUUUGCAAUUGUAUCAAAAUUUUGUAUAAAAGUAUAUUGGUUUGAAUAUAGAAAAAUGUCUUUGUGUAUAUAUUAUGUGCUUCUUUUUAUAUCAUGUAGAAAUAAUUAUUGAUAUAUUUUGGAAGCAAAUUGUAAAUAACUUUCUAAGACCAGCGUGUCUGUGUUUCAUUCUUUCUUGUCUUUGGGCCACCAGAGUCCACUGUUGCACCAAAAAUGAGAUGCGCAGAUGAAGAUGGACUAAAGCACCAGGCUCACACAGUCUCUCUUUCUUCCUGUGGUCACAUUACCCCCUGCUGCUCUGUGAUAGGAGCAUGUGGUGGUGAAGCCCCUACGUUUCCCACUUGGCCGAUGCUCGCGGUGCCUGUGCUGCUCAGUUUAACUGAGUUUUUAUUACCACUCUGAGAAGGCGGUUUUAUUAUUUUACUGAUAACUGCUGACUGUGAUUUCAGGUGUGAUUGGUGAAUUAGUUGUUCUAGUCAGGAGUAUGUACAAGGAAAAUGUACAUCAAAACACACAGUUAUAAAAUAUAAUUAAGGUUUUAGUAAUUGCAUUUAAUAAGAACUCUUUUGCUUUAACCACGUUAGUGAGGUAAUGUAAUAAAAUACUGAUUAACAGCUGCUAAAACUCCCUUUGUGCCUCAACCAGUUUGCCCAGUACACAAGGUCAUGCUUUUGGUAUUUUUGGUUACAGUGAUUUAUAAGCAAAUAACAAAACAUUUAAAUCUGUUAAAGAAAGAAAACAGGAUAUUUUGAAACUUUAAAAAAAUCUUCUUAUAAUAAAAGAUACAGCUAAAAAUAACUUUUUUAACUCUCUGCCCAAAGAUGCACGUGCCACGUGAUAGACAGGCAGCAAUGUCUACAUUGCAACGCGCGCGCGUGUCUGUGUGUGUCUGUGCGCGCGCGUCUCUCCACGCCCCCCUACUUUCAUCCCACUUCUCCCAUAGGUUCGGUGUAAACGUGCCGGAGACACUGGGCCUUUAUAAGGAUCCGCCGUGUGCGCGUCGUGCGAACCUGUACGAUGCCCAGCAAGAGGAAGAAGAACAAGCGCCGCAUGCGGAGGGCGCAGGCGCAGAGGAGAGCCCUGGAGGAGCAGCACGCCAACAGCCCGCCGGUCAAAGCCAGCGCCCGGGUCGCAGCACGCACGCCUCCUGCAGCGGCUCCGAAGAAGGCCCCCAAAACGCCAGCCCCAGGGGGGGCCGGGGGGGCCACGGGGGCCGCGGGGGCCACAGGGGCCGCAGGGGCCACAGGGGACCCAGCCCGGGCCCCGCUUCUGGAGACCCCCAGGGAAGAAGCACAGCCGCCUGUGAAAGGACCCCCCGCUGAGCCAGAGGCAGAGGUGGAGGCUGCAGGAACAGCAUCAGCUGAAGCUGCUGUAGACGUGGAGCGUCUCACUCCAGGAACCGAGGUGUCGCCCCCUGCUGAGCCCCUGAUGGCGCCUGCUGCUGAACCUGAUACGGUCGAUGGUUCAGUCACAACCACUCAGGCCGAGCAGCCUCUAUGUAGUCGUAGUCAUGUCAGCGUAGCAGAGACGCAGCAGGAGAAGGAGGAAGGAGGCGUCCCGGAGGUGCAGGAGAAGGUGGAGGCACCGGUCAAAGUCGAGGCCGUGUCGGAGCCUGUGACGGGAGCAGAGGUGGCGGAAGUGCUUCCCACCGACCCGGUGGAGGCAGAACCAGUGGAGGCGCACAAACCCGGGCCUGAGCGGGCGCCUGAAGCAGAGGGGUCUGCGGGAGAAGCGCUGGUUCAACACCACGCACCUGGAGUCCCUGCUGAGCCUGACACACUCACACAGGUUUCUCCUGUCCAGUCUCUUCACAUCCCAGUGGUGCAGGAAAACAUCUCUGAGACGCUGGUGGAAAAGGCUGAAUGUGUGUCAGCAGUGAAGGACCAUGUGGCCACAGGUGACGUCCAGACGGACCCUGAGGACGUGGCCCCUACCGGACCCCAACCUGCUGCCGGACCCCAACCUGCUGCCGGACCCCAGCCUGCUGCCGGACCCCAACCCCAACCUGCUGCCGGACCCCAGCCUGCUACCGGACCCCAACCUGCUGCCGGACCCCAACCUGCUGCCGGACCCCAGCCUGCUGCCGGACCCCAACCUGCUGCCGGACCCCAACCCCAACCUGCUACCGGACCCCAGCCUGCUGCCGGACCCCAACCUGCUGCCGGACCCCAACCCCAACCUGCUACCGGACCCCAGCCUGCUACCGGACCCCAACCUGCUACCGGACCCCAACCUGCUGCCGGACCCCAACCCCAGCCUGCUACCGGACCCCAACCCCAGCCUGCUACCGGACCCCAACCCCAGCCUGCUACCGGACCCCAACCUGCUGCCGGACCACAACCUGCUACCGGACCACAACCUGCUGCCGAACUUCUGCCUGCUGUUGAACCUCAGCCUGCAGACGUCGAGCCCUCGAACGUGCUGCCCGAGGAGCCCGAGUCAGGAUCGUGCGAUGCAGCUCAGACGCAGCUCACUGUGGAGUCGGCUCAGCUCGUCUCAGCGGUAACAGACUCCACAUGUCCAGUGUGUGAACAGGUGGAACACACGCUGGCACGCUCUGACCCUGGCAGAGGAGACGGUGGCUGAAGCUACUGUGAACGGACACGUCGUUGCAGAGGUCUCCACUGAAGGCUAGAGCUGCACCAACCCACAUUCUUCAUUUUGGGGGACUCACAAACUUCACCUUGAGUCAAGCAGCGGACGUAAGACAGAACUGUCAGGAAAUUGAAGGGACAUCCACACUUUGAAGUGCCUUUCCUGUCCAGAUGUGAACCAGCUGCAGCAAGGCAGCAGAACAGACUCUUGUCAUUGGUGCCGACACGGAAACAAAGAUAGUCUUUUUUCUUCAAUAUGUAUUUCUUACAGUGAACUUAUAUUAGCAGCAGAACUUAUUGAGAAGUGGAAAUUUCUAGGAGAAGCUAAAAAGCUGUGCCUGGUCUUUGUGCACGUUCCUGGUCUCCAUAACACUUUGCUUCAUGCUGUGACGCUGUAGCAUCUGUUAAUGUGGCUUUUUUACAGCCUUCUUUUUAAUUCACAUCUCAAAAUCCCUCAGUCAGAGCAGAGCUGCACCCCAGCCCGUCUGUCGUCCAGGUCCCAGCAUCCACCAAGGGCUUCAUCACACGACUCUGAUGCCGACACACACUUUUUUAUUGUAGUUCACAUGAUGUGCAGCAGCCGUUUGUUCAGUCUGUGGUCUCAUGAAAUAAAGCUGUAACUCAUCGUGA